CCGCGGUCCUGGGAGUGCUGGAAGUCCUGGGAUCUCCAACAGUUCUCCGAGCAUGAGGGCAUCCACAGUGUGUAGAGGCAACCCAGCCUCUAAGGUGGGCCCCAUACACCUGCCUCUAAGCCAAUGCAUCCUUCCCGCAAUGAACCACGCCAUCGUCUCGACCGUCUCCGGCGACCAGGCAAACCAAAUACCUCGCGCGAGGCUGGACGACGGAGGCGGUUGAUCUAGCAGCUGGAUGUGGACUGCUGGUGGUGGCGGGGGGUGCAGCAACUGCGCCGGCAAGUGCGUCGAGGCGCAGCCGCCGGUGUAUUCCUGCUGACCAACUGCGCCGGCGAUGCCGAGGAAGCGCUACGCUGAUAGCGGCGGCAGCGGCGUUGUGCGAGUACUAGGCGCAGGUCUGGCGCAUGGGCGGGUUCACGCGGAAGCACAAGGUGAGAUGUGGCUGUUCAUGGGUUUCCUGUACGUGAGUAUGUGACUUUGUAUUUUGGUGGCUUUUGAGCUGAAUAUAGUAGGGAAUAUCACAUAUCUCCAUUACAGCCUUCUUAUAUUAAACAUUAGAAAAAAUAAAAGAUCUAGCAAUACAAAUAUUUUGGUGGCAGCAUACAGAGUACAUGGUGAACAAAUCUGGAAUAAACUAGUCUAGAAAUAAAAUUACAAAUUAUUUGUUGGGCCUCUAAUACAAGCUAAGGCUGACCACCCCCGAAUGGUUGCCAUAGAUACUCUAUCAAAUCGCCUUUGAGUUGUCGAUGUGUAGCUCGAUCACGAAUUGCUGAGCCUAUCUCCAGCACUCUGGCAAAUUCAUGAAUUGGCCCAUGGUUCAGAUUAUCUAUUUCGUUGUUAAAGGUACCCUGAUCAUAGUCAUAGUCGAAGCGAACCUCAUAGGAAUCCCGCUCAUCCUCGACUAUCAUAUUAUGCAAUAUAACACAUGCAUACAUGAUAUCAGCAAUAUCUUGCCUAUACCAAAGAUUAACCGGACCACGUACAAUAGCAAAUCGAGAUUGUAGAACUCCAAAUGCAUGUUCAACAUCUUUUCUUGCACCUUCUUGCAUCUUUGCAAACAAUUUUGUCUUGUCAGUUGGGGGCAAGCGGAUUGUCUUCUAGCAUGAUUGUUGGUACUCCAUAAUCACCACGAGUAAACUGCGCCUUCCAAGGGACAGGGCAAUUUUUCCACUCCCAAUGCAUGCAAUCAAUACUUCCUAGCAUACCAGGGAAUCCACGAGCCUCUCCUAUAUGAAGUAAGCGUUGAACAUCUUCUUCAGUAGGUCUUCGCAAAUAUACUUCACCAAAGUUCUCUCUAAUGCCUUUUGCAAAUUCUCUCAAGGACUCAAGGGAUGUGGUUUCAGCCAUACUUAGAGUGUCAUCGAUAUAAUCUGCCGGGACACCAUAGGCUAACAUCCGCAUAGCUGCUGUACACUUUUGCAAUGGUGAAAAACCUUUCUUGCCAAAGGCAUCAUACCUUUGACUAAAGUAAGGUGACCAAUCACCAAGAGUGUGCAUAAUAUGUUCAAAUAGAUGCUUUCUCAUUCGAUACCUUCGACGAAAUUGCUUGGGGCUGAAGACUGGGACAUCGGCGAAGUACUCAGCAUACAACUUGUUGUGGCCGGCUUGACGAUCUCUGGCUCUGUAUCUUCGAUGAUGCUUUUGUGGCUGGCUAGGAAAUAGUUGUCUACCUAUAAUAGAUUCAAUGGAAUUUUCGAUUUUGUCAUCCAUUGAAUCAUUUCCAUCACUGCUAGAACUAAUUGAAAUGGAGGAGAAGGAGUCUGAAGACAUGUUUGAAGUGGACGAGCUACUGGUGUAUGCCUCCAGAAGUGGAGUCCUUUAUUUGUAGUGCAUUAUGUUUCCAACGGCUAGUUUUCUGCACAUGUAUUCUGGUUCCAACAGCUAGUUUUCUGAACAUGCAGCUAUUUUCAACGGCUAGUUUUCUGCACAUUUAUUCUGGUUCCAACGGCUAGUUUUCUGAACAUGCAGCUCUUUUCAACGGCUAGUUUUCUGUCAUUACUGUUUGAUACAUUGCUGGAACAUUGAUACAUUGAUGAUAGACUAAAUAAUACAAUACCAAAACUAAAAGAUAUCUUUGACAGAAAUGGAAAGAUACAUUGAUGAGAGCCUGAAACUAAAUGAUACAAUACCGAAACUAAAAGAUACAUUGUUGAAAUGGAAAGAUACAUUGAUGAGAGGCUGAAACUAAAUGGUACUAGUAAUUAUUAAAUAGAUAGCUCCAUGCCUAGAAGAUUCAGAAGCUGGUUAUAUCGCUGUAGCUUUGCUGCAUCAUAUCCGGAUGUGUCUGUCUCCAGUAACUUCAUAUACUUGCUCAAUUUUUUGGUUCUUGCCUUCUCAAGUGUGGUAGCAGCUAAUCUUUCAUUGCAGAUGCCUUCUCCUUUCUUGCUUCUGCAGCCAUCUCUAUUGCAGUUGAUUUUCUUGCUAUGGCAUCAUGAUAUAGUUGCAUAGUUGGAUCUGGCAGGUUGCUUGAAGAAGAGUCGGCCUUUGCUGGGGCCUUUCCUUUGCGUUUUGCGCCCUUCUGUCCCGGAGGACGACGUUCCAAUGGUCUGUCCACUGAUUCUUCAACAUCUUUACUAGAAGAAGAAAUGAGGCUGAGGCGAAUAAUGAAAAUAUCCGGCAUCUUUGUUGAUCCUAGCAUGUGGAUCAAUCCCGGUGAAGCCGGCGGCUGCAGAAGAUGAAUGACCAUAUGAACCUCCUCCAUACACUCCUUGGAAACCUGAGGUAUGUGGAGGUGGAAAUGGAUACAUGUUCUGUGCAUACAUGGGAUGCAAAUAUUGCCCAUGCUGAGAGGAUGAAGCACUUGUGAACUGGUGAGGUGGGGUGGCAGAUGGGGUAUAGUUUCGAUUUUCUGGAUCUUGGCUUGAGCAACUAUUUAGCAUCCUAGUGAAAUUUCCUGGAGAGUGCUCCAUGAAUGUGAAGUUUUUUGAGGUGUCUAGGCUCCCAGUUGGUUUGGGUGUGUGCAAACUUAUUGUUCAAAGCCCUAGUAUAUAUACUGAUAGAUGUGUGUAUGCACACACUUGUUGUAACGGCCAUAAUUUGUUGUUUAUUAUUAUUUUGAAA